rnacentral:rRNA from 1 species
AUUGAACGCUGGCGGCAGGCUUAACACAUGCAAGUCGAGCGGGGGAAGGUAGCUUGCUACCGGACCUAGCGGCGGACGGGUGAGUAAUGCUUAGGAAUCUGCCUAUUAGUGGGGGACAACAUCUCGAAAGGGAUGCUAAUACCGCAUACGUCCUACGGGAGAAAGCAGGGGAUCUUCGGACCUUGCGCUAAUAGAUGAGCCUAAGUCGGAUUAGCUAGUUGGUGGGGUAAAGGCCUACCAAGGCGACGAUCUGUAGCGGGUCUGAGAGGAUGAUCCGCCACACUGGGACUGAGACACGGCCCAGACUCCUACGGGAGGCAGCAGUGGGGAAGAUUGGACAAUGGGGGGAACCCUGAUCCAGCCAUGCCGCGUGUGUGAAGAAGGCCUUAUGGUUGUAAAGCACUUUAAGCGAGGAGGAGGCUACUUUAGUUAAUACCUAGAGAUAGUGGACGUUACUCGCAGAAUAAGCACCGGCUAACUCUGUG